rnacentral:rRNA from 1 species
UAGGGAAUAUUAGAAAUGGACGAAAGUCUGAUCUAGAAACACCGCGUGUGCGAAGAAGGCCUUCGGGUUGUAAAGCACUUUUUGGAAGGAUUAGGAAGGAAUGUACUUCCAGAAUAAGUCUCGGCUAACUACGUGCCAGCAGCAGCGGUAACACGUAGGAGGCAAACGUUAUCCGGAUUUACUGGGCGUAAAGCGCGUGUAGGUGGUUCUGUAAGUAGGGCGUGAAAGCUCCUGGCUCAACUGGGAGAGGCCGUUCUAAACUGCAGAGCUAGAGGAUGGUAGAGGGAGGUGGAAUUCCGGGUGUAGCGGUGGAAUGCGCAGAUAUCCGGAGGAACACCAGUGGCGAAAGCGGCCUCCUGGACCAUUCCUGACACUCAGACGCGAAAGCUAGGGUAGCAAACG